GAAGCAGAUCUGCAUUAGAUCAGAUAGCAGUGGUGGCCCUUCCAGAGAUAAAGAGGGACCAGCAGGUGCUCACGAGAGGAAGCACCUUGCAAGAUUGAACAAGGUGUCAGCAGAACCUGAAUGGGUGGACAAGUGGGUCUAGGUUCAAUCUGCCCUUAGCCAACCUUGUCAGGACACAGACUUCUGGAGAAAGGGGUACCCUUCACACAAAGAUGCCAGACCAACCAAGCUGGGAAAAUUGAUCUGCCUCUGUGGACAAAACCUUUUUAAUCUGGAUGAUUGGGAGAGAUUGAAACAGAUUCUUCCAGAAGUUAGUAAAGGUAUCGACCACCUGGGAGGGACGACGGGUGACAGACGCCCGCCCUCACCGCAAACAGGCGCAAGACAUUGGCGACCAUGAUGGACACGGAGCUAGCUGAGGCGCCCACCACCGCCACGACGCGUUCAGGAGGCGCGGCGCGCAGCGGGGGGACGCCCCCAGGGCAGCGCACGCUGGCCUCUUCGCCGUCUCCGCGGCCUCGGAUGAGCGCCUGCACGAAGCUCAGCGCCUGCUCCAGAGCGUAGGUGUCCCGCGAGCAGGUGUCGAGCAGCCGCGCGCCUAGUCGCACACCGGGCAGGAGCUCCGGGUCGGCGUUGAUGCGGUCCAGCGCGUAGAGCAUCGCCU
ensembl:antisense Gm12660 predicted gene 12660